rnacentral:rRNA from 1 species
AUUGAACGCUGGCGGCAGGCUUAACACAUGCAAGUCGAGCGGGGGGUUGCUUCGGUAACUGACCUAGCGGCGGACGGGUGAGUAAUGCUUAGGAAUCUGCCUAUUAGUGGGGGACAACAUUCCGAAAGGGAUGCUAAUACCGCAUACGCCCUACGGGGGAAAGCAGGGGAUCUUCGGACCUUGCGCUAAUAGAUGAGCCUAAGUCGGAUUAGCUAGUUGGUGGGGUAAAGGCCUACCAAGGCGACGAUCUGUAGCGGGUCUGAGAGGAUGAUCCGCCACACUGGGACUGAGACACGGCCCAGACUCCUACGGGAGGCAGCAGUGGGGAAUAUUGGACAAUGGGCGGAAGCCUGAUCUAGCCAUGCCGCGUGUGUGAAGAAGGCCUUUUGGUUGUAAAGCACUUUAAGCGAGGAGGAGGCUACUAGUAUUAAUACUACUGGAUAGUGGACGUUACUCGCAGAAUAAGCACCGGCUAACUCUGUGCCAGCAGCCGCGGUAAGAC